GACGAACGCUGGCGGCGCGCCUAACACAUGCAAGUCGAACGAGCGAGAGAGAGCUUGCUUUCUCGAGCGAGUGGCGAACGGGUGAGUAACGCGUGAGGAAUCUGCCUCAAAGAGGGGGACAACAGUUGGAAACGACUGCUAAUACCGCAUAAGCCCACGGUGCCGCAUGGCACAGAGGGAAAAGGAGUAAUCCGCUUUGAGAUGGCCUCGCGUCCGAUUAGCUAGUUGGUGAGGUAACGGCCCACCAAGGCGACGAUCGGUAGCCGGACUGAGAGGUUGAACGGCCACAUUGGGACUGAGACACGGCCCAGACUCCUACGGGAGGCAGCAGUGGGGAAUAUUGCACAAUGGGGGAAACCCUGAUGCAGCGACGCCGCGUGGAGGAAGAAGGUCUUCGGAUUGUAAACUCCUGUUGUUGGGGAAGAUAAUGACGGUACCCAACAAGGAAGUGACGGCUAACUACGUGCCAGCAGCCGCGGUAAAACGUAGGUCACAAGCGUUGUCCGGAAUUACUGGGUGUAAAGGGAGCGCAGGCGGGAAGACAAGUUGGAAGUGAAAUCUAUGGGCUCAACCCAUAAACUGCUUUCAAAACUGUUUUUCUUGAGUAGUGCAGAGGUAGGCGGAAUUCCCGGUGUAGCGGUGGAAUGCGUAGAUAUCGGGAGGAACACCAGUGGCGAAGGCGGCCUACUGGGCACCAACUGACGCUGAGGCUCGAAAGUGUGGGUAGCAAACAGGAUUAGAUACCCUGGUAGUCCACACCGUAAACGAUGAUUACUAGGUGUUGGAGGAUUGACCCCUUCAGUGCCGCAGUUAACACAAUAAGUAAUCCACCUGGGGAGUACGACCGCAAGGUUGAAACUCAAAGGAAUUGACGGGGGCCCGCACAAGCAGUGGAGUAUGUGGUUUAAUUCGACGCAACGCGAAGAACCUUACCAAGUCUUGACAUCCCUUGACAGACAUAGAAAUAUGUAAUCUCUUCGGAGCAAGGAGACAGGUGGUGCAUGGUUGUCGUCAGCUCGUGUCGUGAGAUGUUGGGUUAAGUCCCGCAACGAGCGCAACCCUUAUGGUCAGUUACUACGCAAGAGGACUCUGGCCAGACUGCCGUUGACAAAACGGAGGAAGGUGGGGAUGACGUCAAAUCAUCAUGCCCUUUAUGACUUGGGCUACACACGUACUACAAUGGCGUUAAACAAAGAGAAGCAAGACCGCGAGGUGGAGCGAAACUCAGAAACAACGUCCCAGUUCGGACUGCGGGCUGCAACUCGCCUGCACGAAGUCGGAAUUGCUAGUAAUCGUGGAUCAGCAUGCCACGGUGAAUACGUUCCCGGGCCU
rnacentral:rRNA from 1 species